rnacentral:sRNA from 1 species
GCUGGGGGUGGUGGUGCAUACCUGUAAUCCCAGCAGUUUGGGAGGCUGAGGCAGGAGGAUCAUGAGUUCAAAGCCAGGCUUAGCAAUUUAUGGAGACCCUUAACAACUUAGCAAGAGCCUGUCUCAA